UCACUUUGGCAGCAAACAUAUUAAAAUUAGAAAAAUACAGAGAAGAUUGGCAUGACCCUGCACAAGGAUGACACGCAAAUUUGUGAAGCAUUUCAUAUUUUU